GUCCAGCUGACGAGUCCCAAACAGGACGAAGCGCGCAUCCUGGAU
rfam:Schistosoma curassoni strain Dakar, Senegal genome assembly, scaffold: SCTD_contig0000161